rnacentral:rRNA from 1 species
ACGAAGGGGGCUAGCGUUGCUCGGAAUGACUGGGCGUAAAGGGCGCGUAGGCGGCAUAGACAGUCAGAAGUGAAAUUCCUGGGCUCAACCUGGGGACUGCUUUUGAUACGUCUAAGCUAGAGUGGAGAAGAGGGUCGUGGAAUUUCCAGUGUAGAGGUGAAAUUCGUAGAUAUUGGAAAGAACACCGGUGGCGAAGGCGGCGACCUGGUCUUUUACUGACGCUGAGGCGCGAAAGCGUGGGGAGCAAACAGG